GACGAACCGUGCGAACGUUAUUCGGAAUCACUGGGCUUAAAGGGCGCGUAGGCGGGCGGCCAAGUCAGGGGUGAAAGCCCCCAGCUCAACUGGGGAAGUGCCUUUGAUACUGGUUGUCUCGAGGGAGGUAGGGGCGUGCGGAACUUCCGGUGGAGCGGUGAAAUGCGUAGAUAUCGGAAGGAACACCUGUGGCGAAAGCGGCUCACUGGACCAUUACUGACGCUGAGGCACGAAAGCUAGGGGAGCAAACAGG
rnacentral:rRNA from 1 species